GACGAAGAACGUAGUGAAAUGCGAUAAGUAGUGUGAAUUGCAGAAUUCAGUGAAUCAUCGAAUCUUUGAACGCACAUUGCGGCCAUAGGUAUUCCUUUGGCCAUGCCUGUUCGAGCGUCAUUUACACCCUCAAGCCUAGCUUGGUGUUGGGCGUCUGUCCCGCCGUUCUCGCGCGCGGACUCGCCUCAAAGUCAUUGGCGGCGGUCGUGCCGGCCCCCUCGCGCAGCACAUUUGCGCUUCUCGGAGGCCCGGCGGAUCCGCGCUCCAGCAAGACCUUUCACGACUUGACCUCGGAUCAGGUAGGGAUACCCGCUGAACUUAAGCAUAUCAAUAAGCGGAGGA
rnacentral:misc_RNA from 1 species